UGCACAGCUGGGAUGAUUGUAAUAAAGAAAAGGGAAAAGUUUAUAUAGAGCCUAGGCUCUAAACAAUCAAAUUAGAGCUUUACCUAAAACAUUUCACUAAAAGAAGUUGUUUUGAUGCUCAAAUAUCCUCAAAUUGAUCAUAUCGGCAUCAUAAUGCAUAGACUUGAGAAAAAAUGGAUUUCAAGAUUUGGAAAUAGUGCAUCUUGUAACGCAUUUUUGGAUCGUCAAUUUUUAAAUUAUUCAAAUUGUCAUAGAUCAGCUCGAUUUAUACUAUUUUCAAAGCUUUAAAUUUUAUAAUUAAAGAUGAAAAUAUAUUUUCAAGCUAGCCAAAGAUUUCCAAUGUUGAAACCACAUUUAUAGACAUUUGAAAGUGGGCCCUCAUUUGAUUGCUUAGAGCCUUGGCUCUAUACGAACCGCACCGGGAAAGGGAAAGGUAUAGUUUUAGUACAAAAGGCCACAAUAGCUCUUGUCUAUCAAAUUUUAAAUUAAAGUGUAGCAAGUGUACAUGUGACAAAAAAAUUCUUAAAUUUCGUGACAUACCCCAAGCAAUCCAAUUAAACAUUUAAUGGUUAAGAUUAAUUGUGACCUCUUUAUACUAAAGAUAAAUAAUCUCGUAAUAUUAAAAUCUCAUAAAUAAAAAUUAAACAAUUAUAUGGUCUUUCUGUUCCUUCUUUCUCAGUACUAAAACAAAAACAAAAACAUUUCAAGCCACUUACAUAAAACCGAAAAUGACCUUUAGGUCCCUUUGAGAUAAAAUGCUUUGUACAGACAAAGAAAGUGCAUUGGGACCUUUUGCCUAUUUAUCUUCUUUUUAUUUUAAUGUCAACAAAAAAUCAUUUACUAUACUAAAAUAAGUACCAUGUAUGAAAAAAAGGACAAACCACAGGGCCAUGAGUGAGUCCCUAAGAAUGAAUGACUUAGACAAAAGCACAAAAGAUUAAGCGCUUACUACUUUUGGAACCGCCAUAUAUACUACAAAAAAUGAGAUCAUAAUCCCCUAUUUUUAUAAGGGUGUGGUUUAUAUAAGGUUGCAACUUUAAACAAUCCAAUUAAGGAGCACUUCCAAAUUUUAUCAUAGCACAUAAUUUUGAUGUAAAAAAUUCUUAAGAUUAUCUGAAAAUAUAUUUUUAUCUCUAAUUAUAAAAUUUUAAACUCUAAAAAUAGUUAAAAUCAAGUAGAUCUAUAAACAUAUGAAAAUCUUGAAAAUGGACGGUCUAGAUAAUGUGUUGCAAGAAACUCUAUUUCUGAAAUUUAAAAUCUUUUUUUUUUGUUUUCAUGUUCGUUAAUCUCGAUGUCGAGAUGAUCAAUUAGAGGAUUUUUCAACAUUAAAAUAAUAUUUUCCGAUGGAUUUUUGAGAUGCAUCUAUAAUUCUACAUUUUACUGUUGCAACCCUAUAUAAACUUUUUCCUUUAUAUAAGGACACUUAUUGUUUGUACAAACAGAUUAUAUGCGCCCCAGAGUAUAUCCUAUAUUCACUCCCUUGGCGAAAAACCUUAUCUACGAGUAAUUUCAGGACCUAAAUUUCCUUGGCUGAAGGAGAAAUCUCCCCCACCCCACCAAAAAAAGAAAAGAAAGAAUCGUCUGUUCUUUAUAAGUGCCUCAAAGAAAUAACAUCCCAAAGAUUGAUAGUUACUAUCCAAUAUUUGGACGGUCACAUCUAAGUAUUUAGGAAGUUCAGAUUCGAUUUUUUUUUUCUCUGAAAAAAGUUGUUUUUUUUUUUUGUUGAAAAUAUUGACUUUGUAUUAACGUAAUAGAAAUAGUAAAAAAAUCUUCGUUCAGAAAAAGGUAAAAUUAUGGUGUGUUUCCUGACACACCUAUUCAAAUGCAAUUCCCUUCCAAAAAAAAAAAAACUCAUUAUUAAGAUAGAUUUAGGAUAUCAAACACAUCCUAAGUCCUUCUUGAUGCAUUUCCGCUUUAGACCCAUGAAUUUGCAACUCAAAAUAUAGUGCAUGAUGAUAUGCAAAUAAUUACAAUAAAAUGUCCAAAUACAAAGUUUAAAAUAGUCUAUUUUAAUGUUAAAAAACUAUGUUUUUUUUAGAUUCAUAGUCAUAUGGGGGUUUAGAUUAUCGACAUGUAAAAUUUUAGAUUCAAAAUCCAUCUCUAACAUAGAUUUUUGGAAGGAAACUUAGGUGCAUUGCUUGAUGCCCAAACGUACUAAUAUGAAUUCCAAAGUGGAUUUCGGAAAGAAUUCCUCCGAGGGAGUAAGUCUAUAACAAGCUCCUGGAGGUCUACGCUAUAAGGAGGACGUUUAACCAAGGGAAUAACUCUAUAACAAGCUCCCUCAAGACUACACUAUACACCCUCAUUGUUUAUCUUUCCUUUCUUUAUUUUAUGGGUGCAGUUUGCAUACGGACACAUCCGUAGGUGUAGAGGGAAGG
rnacentral:lncRNA from 1 species